UGCAUCAUCAUGCGGCGACGCACAGUGUCGAACAGAUAGGAACUCAACCCAGCAACCGCCGUGACUGCGCGGUCAGCCAGCUAAUGAAGAUAGGAGUGUUCUUGGGAUCUGGAAGCAUUCCCUUGGCAGUGUCAUAGAUACCGAAUGAUUUGCUUGCUGGCAUGCUGCCCCUGCAUCAGCAGCUUCACCUGCUCGAUGGGCGCGACCGUGGUCUUGGAGAUGGCCGCCGCCACUCCACCUGCCAGGAAGUCCUUGGCGAAGGACACGGCAGCAUCUGUCAUCUUGGAAGGAAAGAGUGUGAGAUCAGAGACAAGUCAGUGGGAGAGGCACACAGCUACAACUCUGUCUAGAUUUCUUUCCUCUGAGGUGCGGGGAAUGACUGAGAGAACUCUUGAUCCUGGGUGGUUACCUGAAGUGGAGCUAGUGAAGUCAAACUGCUGGUGCACAAGGAACAUCGUCUGUAAUGGGACCCUCAUGUCUGAGUGGGCAGGUCAGGUGAUGCUGCAAGAGCUGAAUCAAGAAUGUCUUGGAGUGGGGAGGCAGACACAGUUUGCAUUUCACCUAGGGAACGCUCACGUUAGGGAACUCUGCCAGGUGAUCUCUCUGCAUGAUCACCCUCAAGGCCUUAAGACUGAGACUCAGGUCCUGGGACAUCAGUACUAGAAUUUUUUUUUUUUUUUAAUUCUAAUAAACGUACUUAACCUAAGAUCUGCACCUUCAGAUCUCAAGGCACAGAUCUUUAAGUGCAAACUAUAGUAUUGCUAGUUAUAGGCGCAAUGUUGUACAGCUAAUCUCUAGAACUCAUCCAGCUUAUAUAAUUGAAACUUUAUACCCAUUAAACAGCAACUUCCCAUUUUCUCUCCUCUGUCCCUAGCCAUUGACAACCACCAUUCUAUCUUCUGUUUCUGUGAGUGUGAAUAUUUUAUAUACCUCAUAUAAUUGGAAUCAUGCAGUAUUUAUACUUCUAUGGCUAACUUCUCAUAAUGCCUUCCAGGUCUGUAUAUGUUGCAUAAAGCUCAAGAUUUUCUUCCUUUUUUUUUAGGCUGAAUAAUAUCUGUGUUUGUAUAUAGCACAUUUUAUUUAUCCAGUCAGGACUUCCCUCAUAGCUCAGUUGGUGAGGAAUCUGUCUGCAAUGCAGGAAGACCCUGGUUUGAUCCCUGAGUUGGGAAGAUCUGCUGGAGAAGGGAUAGACUACCCACUCUAGUAUUCUUGAGCUUCCCUUGUGGCUCAGCUGGUAAAGAAUCUGCCAGCAAUGUGGGAGACCUGGGUUCAAUCCCUGGGUUGGGAAGAUUCUCUGGAGAAGGGAAAGGCUAUCCACUCCAGUUUUCUGGCUUGGAGAAUUACAUGGACUGUAUAGUCUAUGGGAUUGCAAAGAGUCGGACAUGACCAAAUGACUUAAAAAUAAACGUAUCCGAUCAUCUGUUGAUGGGCAUUUAGGUGGUCUCCCUAUCAUGUUGCUGUUGUCCAGUCACUAAGUCGUGUCCAACUCUUUGUGACCCAGAGACUGCAGCAUGCCAGGCUCCUCUGUCCCUCGGUAUCUCCCAGAGUUUGCUGAAAUUCAUGUCUAUUGAGUUAGUGAUGUUAUUUAACCAUCUCAUCCUCUGCCUCUCCCUUCUCCUUUUGCCUUCAAUCUUUCCCGGCAUCAAGGUCUUUUCCUAUGAAUUGGCUCUUCACAUCAGGUGGCCAAAUUAUUGGACUGCAGGUUUUCAUGUUGCCGUUUUAGCCAACCUGGCUUCAACCAAAGAGCUUCCUUUAACAUUUCUUGUAAAACAGGUCUAGAGAUGAUGGAUUUCCUUUUUCUCUUUUGCCAUGGGACAUCUUUAUCUCUCAUUUUUGAAGGCAAGUUUAUUGCUAUUCUUGGUUGAUAGUUUUUUUUUUCUUUCAGCACUAUUUAUAUAUCAUUCUACUCCUUUCUGUCAUGUGACGUUUCUAGUGAGAAACUAAAGAUCCUGCAUGCCACAAUGAAGAUCGAAGAUCCCAAGUGCGGCAACUAAGACCAGAAAAAUUAGUGACAAAUUCUAAGAGAACUCUGCACAAAGAAACACCGUCCUAGUAGCGUGGGAGGCAUGGGAGCCCACAAAGCUCCUAGCGACAGAAGAGAAGACUUAAUGAGAUCAAGUUUCUGUGCUUAGAAAUGUGCAACCCACUUUGGUCUCAAGAAAGGCCUCUCUGUCCCGGGUGAAAUCAUAGGGCUCACUCUUGUAAAUAGACUUCUUUUUAGACUUAAAAAU
ensembl:lncRNA